rnacentral:lncRNA from 10 species
CAGGUUUUCUCGUCCACUACUCUGCGGUGGCGGGUCGGCAGCUGGAGGGACAGCUAAUCUGGGGGCCCUGCCACCAGCCUCUGAGACAGCGCUGGACCCCAAGACUCUGCAGGAUUCGCCUCAGUGCAGAGGCUCUGGAUUCUCUGGCUCUGAGGCGAGAUGGGAGCUGUCCUCCCAGUGGUGCUGAAACUCGGGCUGCCUCCGUUGGGGUCACCGACAGAGGCUCACUUGUUCAGGCACUUCCUGGGUCAGCCUUUCCGCCUCUGAGACGGGCUCUCCCAUCUCAGAUGGGAGAUUCUGCCUGGAAGGGAAGUAGUCCACGCCAUCAUCAUUCCCCGAAACCUUAAUAGCCACCUAACUGGAUUCACCACUUCUCGUCUUGCCUCCUCAAUUCAUUCUCCGCUCAGUACCCAGAGUGGUCUUUUCAAGAAGCAAAUCUGAUCCUAUGUAAAGUACUCAUAUGGUUUUCCAUAUCAUUCAGAAUAAAACUUAAACGUUCUUGCUAGAGCUAAGAUACCCCUCCCCCUCAAUGAUCUAGCCCCUGUCUGCUUCUUCCACAUUAAUCGCC